CACUGUAUUGCCCAGUAGCGGCGAGUGAAGCGGCAAGAGCUCAGAUUUGAAAUCGUGUUUCGGCACGAGUUGUAGAGUGUAGGCGGGAGUCUCUGUGGAGCGCGGUGUCCAAGUCCCUUGGAACAGGGUGCCUGAGAGGGUGAGAGCCCCGUAGGGUGCUGCGCGAAGCUUUUGAGGCCCUGCUGACGAGUCGAGUUGUUUGGGAAUGCAGCUCCAAGCGGGUGGUAAAUUCCAUCUAAGGCUAAAUAUUGGCGAGAGACCGAUAGCGAACAAGUACUGUGAAGGAAAGAUGAAAAGCACUUUGAAAAGAGAGUGAAACAGCACGUGAAAUUGUUGAAAGGGAAGGGUAUUGGGCUCGACAUGGGGGGUGCGCACCGCUGUCUCUUGUAGGCGGCGCUCUGGGCGCCCUCUGGGCCAGCAUCGGUUCCUGCUGCGGGAGAAGGGGCUCCGGAAAGUGGCUCUUCGGAGUGUUAUAGCCGGGGCCAGAUGCCGCGUGUGGGGACCGAGGACUGCGGCUUCUGUCUCGGAUGCUGGCAUAACGGCGCAAUACCGCCCGUCUUGACCC
rnacentral:rRNA from 1 species